GUGCUGUGACGUUGUUACAACGUUUUAUGAUGGUAAUAAAUUACGUCACAAAUUACGUUGUGCCAACGUUGUGUGGAUGGUUGUCAGCACGUGCCUUGGAGUUCACAAAAUUACGUUGUACCAACGUAAUUUUACUACGUUGUCACAACGAUAGUAUUACGUUGUCACAACGUAAUGUCAACGUUGGAUUGUUUACUGGGCAG
rnacentral:lncRNA from 1 species